rnacentral:rRNA from 1 species
AGAGUUUGAUCAUGGCUCAGAACGAACGCUGGCAGCGUGGAUUAGGCAUGCAAGUCGAACGAGAUUCCUUGUGAUAGCAAUAUUAUGAGGAUGACAGUGGCGAAAGGGUGAGUAACGCGUGGGCAACCUGCCCUUAAGUUGGGGACAACCCCGCGAAAGCGGGGCUAAUACCGAAUGUGGUGUUCCGUCGCAUGGCGGGGCUACCAAAGAUGGGGAUCUUCGGACCUGUCGCUUGAGGAGGGGCCCGCGUGCCAUCAGCUAGUUGGUGAGGUAACGGCUCACCAAGGCUGCAACGGCUAGCCGACCUGAGAGGGCGAUCGGCCACACUGGGACUGAGACACUGCCCAGACUCCUACGGGAGGCUGCAGUCGAGGAUCAUUCGCAAUGCGCGAAAGCGUGACGAUGCGACGCUGCGUGGAGGAUGAAGGCCUUCGGGUUGUAAACUCCUGUCGAGAGGGAAAAACCGUCCCGCUCACAACAUGGGCGGGGCCUGAUGGUACCUCUAAAGGAAGCCACGGCUAACUCUGUGCCAGCAGCCGCGGUAAUACAGAGGUGGCGAGCGUUGUUCGGAUUUACUGGGCGUAAAGGGUGCGUAGGUGGUUCCGCAAGUCGGGUGUGAAAGCCCACGGCUCAACCGUGGAAUGGCAUUCGAAACUGCGGGGCUAGAGUGCAGGAGGGGAGAGCGGAAUUCUUGGUGUAGCGGUGAAAUGCGUUGAUAUCAAGAAGAACACCGGUGGCGUAGGCGGCUCUCUGGAAUGCAACUGACACUGAGGCACGAAAGCCGGGGGAGCAAACAGGAUUAGAUACCCUGGUAGUCCCGGCUGUAAACGGUGUGCACUUGGUGUAGGGGGUAUUUGACCCCCCCUGUGCCGGAGCGAACGCGUUAAGUGCACCGCCUGGGGAGUACGGCCGCAAGGCUAAAACUCAAAUGAAUUGACGG